ACAGGCUUCCUGGAAAGGUCCCUUCACUCCUGAGAAGACAACCCUUCUCCUGAAGAGGUGAUCUGGUCCAUCCCAAUAUGUUUUCUGCGAUGACUUAGAAUCAUUGUGCAACCAGGAGGAGAAGCCAACCAAUCACAGCUGAACAGGGAGUUGGGUGUGGACUGAUCACUGCACUCCUGAAUGAGCCUGCUCUCCAGUGUUCUCGGUCUGGGCUUUCCCCAUUCACAGUUCAAGGGAUGUUUCUACAAUGCUGCAGUUGUGUUUACAAAGAGAGAGAAUGAGAUCUUAAAUAUAAUGAUGGGGGAACUGGUGAGAUGCAUUUUAAGUAGAAAAAUCUGAAAUAGUGUGAUUUUUGAAAAACAAAAAUAUACAUCUACUGUUUAUACUUACAAAA
rnacentral:lncRNA from 1 species